rnacentral:rRNA from 1 species
GUGCCAGCAGCCGCGGUAAGACGGAGGGCGCAAACGUUGUUCGGAAUCACUGGGCGUAAAGGGCGCGUAGGCGGGCCGGUAAGUCGAGGGUGAAAUUCCAGGGCUCAACUCUGGAACUGCCUUCGAAACUGUCGGCCUAGAGUGCAGGAGAGGAAGGCGGAAUUCCAGGUGUAGCGGUGGAAUGCGUAGAUAUCUGGAAGAACACCAGUGGCGAAGGCGGCCUUCUGGACUGACACUGACGCUGAUGCGCGAAAGCUGGGGGAGCAAACAGGAUUAGAUACCCUUGUAGUCC